CGCGGCCUAUCAGCUUGUUGGUGAGGUAAAAGCUCACCAAGGCGAUGACGGGUAGCUGGGCUGAGAGGUCGGCCAGCCACAAUGGAACUGAGACACGCUCCAUACACCUACGGGUGGCAGCAACCGGGAAUAUUGGACAAUGGGGGAAACCCUGAUCCAGCGACGCCGCGUGGGGGAUGAAGGCCUUCGGGUUGUAAACUCCUUUUGCCAGCCAUAAUGGCUUGGAGAAUAAGCACCUGCCAACUACGUGCCAGCAGCAGCGGUGAUACGUAGGGUGCGAGCGUUAUCCGGAUUUACUGGGCGUAAAGGGUUGCGUAGGCGGUUUGUUAAGUCAAAAAUGAAAUCUUCUCGCUCAACGGGAAGUGUGUUUUUGAUACUAACAAGCUUUGAGGCUUUCAGAGGUAACUGGAACUUGCAGUGGAGUGGUGAAAUGCGUCGAUAUUGCAAGGAACACCAAAGGCGUAGGCAGGUUACUGGGAAAGAUCUGACGCUGAUGCACGAAAGCUAGGGGAGCAAAACGGAUUAGAGACCCGUGUAGUCCUAGCCGUAAACGAUGGACACUAGAUGCCUGUCUUUUUAGAUGGGUGUCGCAAGCUAACGCGUUAAGUGCCCCGCCUGGGGAGUACGG
rnacentral:rRNA from 1 species